rnacentral:lncRNA from 1 species
GACAUGGCAAGGAGGUCGUUGAAAUCGUUGGAGUUUGUUAGCAACAAAAAGUCAGGGACAAUCGAAAUAAAACACAUGGCGUUGCGUGAUUGGGUCUGCUCGUCUGUUGCGGAUCAAUGUUUAAAAACAGAGUUUUAGAUUCUUUUCAAUUCAUUUAGAAAUUUGUGUAAAACUCUUAAAAUCUUGAGUACUUCUCUGUGUAAAUCUCGAGUUCAUUGUUGGGAAAAAUUUUUCUACUUCACGAUCUUUUGCAAGCGAGCUACGUUUAAGUAUUUUAGGAACAUCCAUUCGGAUUAUCAUUUCAUCAAAUACAGUUUUUAUGUAUCAAUAUCCUGCAUCAAAGACAUUAUAAAGUGUCCG